rnacentral:rRNA from 1 species
UAGCCGUAAACGAUACUCGCUAGGUGUCGGCCACGGUGCGACCGUUGUCGGUGCCGUAGGGAAGCCGUGAAGCGAGCCACCUGGGAAGUACGGCCGCAAGGUUGAAACUUAAAGGAAUUGGCGGGGGGAGCACAACAACGGGUGGAGCUUGUCGGUUUAAUUGGACUCAACGCCGGGAAGCUCACCGGAUAAGACAGCGGAAUGAUUGCCGGGCUGAAGACCCUGCAUGACCAGCUGAGAGGUGGUGCAUGGCGUAGUCGUGU